UACGUAGGGCGCAAGCGUUGUCCGGAAUUAUUGGGCGUAAAGAGCUCGUAGGCGGUCUGUCGCGUCCGUUGUGAAAACUCGAGGCUCAACCUCGGGCUUGCAGUGGAUACGGGCAGACUAGAGUGCGGUAGGGGAGACUGGAAUUCCUGGUGUAGCGGUGGAAUGCGCAGAUAUCGGGAGGAACACCGGUGGCGAAGGCGGUUCUCUGGGCCUUACCUGACGCUGAGGAGCGAAAGCGUGGGGAGCGAACAGG
rnacentral:rRNA from 1 species